rnacentral:lncRNA from 1 species
AGGGUUUGUGGAUGCAAUCCAGGCCUUUGAAGAUGGGAAGAAGAUCUUAAUUAUAAAGAAAUGGGAAGAUUGAAUGCUUUUAUGGAGAGUCCAACUUGAAGAGGUUGUAUCCAGUUUUUCCUAUUUCCAGCAAUACAGCAGUAAUCACAGUUGCAACUAAAUCCUUCUUCACAGGAAUUUAAAAAAGGAGA